rnacentral:rRNA from 1 species
CCGGCGACCGGCGCACGGGUGAGUAACACGUAUGCGACCUGCCCCCGCAGGGGGAUAACCGGGAGAAAUCCCGACUAAUACCGCGUAACGCCGCGGACCUGCAUGGGUCUGCGGCCAAAGGAAGCGAUUCCGGCGGGGGAUGGGCAUGCGGCGCAUUAGCUAGUCGGCGGGGUAACGGCCCACCGAGGCGACGAUGCGUAGGGGUUCUGAGAGGAAGGUCCCCCACACUGGUACUGAGACACGGACCAGACUCCUACGGAAGGCAGCAG